GCUGCCAAAGUUGAGCUGAUUUGGUUAACGUCAAAACAGCAGUAGCCACUCACAGCGCUGGAAGAUGAUCGGAGCCGUUCGCCGUCAAAUUUGGCCACUUCUUGCUGUUGCACUGCUAUUACUCUUAUCGCCGGCGGUUCUGAGCGUCGAAGACGACGAUGCUUCAUCAAUUAUAUCUAGGUUUCAGAAGUUCCUCACAAUCAACACCGCGCAUCCCAACCCCCGCUACUAUGAAGCCGUGGAUUUCAUCGCUGAACAAGCUAAAUCGCUGUCGUUAGACACGCAGGUUCUUGAAUUCGUCGAGGGAAAGCCGUUGGUGCUCCUCAAAUGGACCGGUGAGAACCCAGCCCUCCCAUCCAUUCUCCUCAAUUCCCACACCGACGUUGUACCGGCUGAGCACGCGAAGUGGAAUCAUCCUCCUUUUGAGGCUCACAUCGACAGCUCCUCCGGUCAUAUUUACGCCCGUGGCUCUCAGGACAUGAAGUGCGUCGGCCUUCAGUAUCUGGAAGCCAUUCGGAAGCUCCAGGCUUCUGGAUUCCGUCCCCUGCGCACGGUCUACCUCUCGUUUGUUCCGGAUGAGGAAAUCGGCGGACACGAUGGGGCCGAGACGUUCGCCAAUUCCGAUAUUUUCAAGAGCAUGAAUGUAGGGAUUUUGCUGGACGAGGGGCUUGCCUCACCUAAUGAGAAUUACCGGUUGUUCUAUGCGGAAAGGUCACCACAGUGGCUGGUGAUUAAGGCUACAGGGGCACCUGGUCAUGGAGCUAAGCUUUAUGAUAACACUGCUAUGGAGAAUUUAGUCAAGAGUGUAGAGAGCAUCAUGCGGUUCAGGGCAGCUCAGUUUGAUUUGGUGAAGUCUGGACAAAAGGCCGAAGGAGAGGUUAUUUCAGCAAACUUGGUCUUUUUGAAAGCUGGCACACCAUCUCCUACGGGUUUUGUCAUGAAUUUGCAGCCAUCUGAAGCUGAAGCAGGUUUUGAUAUCAGAGUGCCACCAACUGCAGAUAUAGCUUCUUUGGAGAGGCGAAUUGCGGAGGAAUGGGCUCCUUCUAGUCGAAAUAUGACCUUUGUGUUUAAGCAGAAGAAAGAUGUAUAUGACAAAUUUGGGAAUCGUGCUAUUACUGCUAUAGAUAGUUCAAAUCCUUGGUGGGCAUUGUUAGAAGAGGCAAUAAAAAAAGCUGGUGGGAAAGUUGGAAAGCCGGAGAUCUUUCCUGCAUCAACCGAUGCCCGGUAUUUUAGAGAUCUUGGCUUGCCAGCUAUUGGCUUUUCCCCUAUGGCAAACACUCCUAUUCUACUUCAUGACCACAACGAGUUCCUGAACAAGGAUGAAUAUUUGCGUGGAAUUGCCAUUUACGAGUCAAUAUUGAAAGAGUAUGCAUCUUAUGUUGGUUCGGCAAUGAAAGAAGAUCUUAGAGAUGAAUUAUAAUCUUGCAUGAUUAUUAACUUACCCCUGUUGUCAAGGAAAAGUUGUAUAUUGUCUUAUGUUGAGGUGCAAUCUGCUAUUACAUACAAAAGGUAAUGGUGAGCAAAGCCCAUGGGGAGGGUGGGUUCAUCGCAGUGAUUUGAGGAUCAGAUGGUUGGGAGAAUGUGUAGUGACAAGCUAUGGAGGUUUUGAGACCACAGCCAUUUUCAUGGGACUCUAUUCACAUUGUCUUCCAUAACAUGACCAUCUUUUGUGAACUUGACUUGGUUUACCUUUGAUUGUCUCACUUUGCUAUUUUAUAUCAUUGUUGACUGCUAUUUUAUAACAAAACAUCUUGCUUGUUAGCCUUCGGUGAUCCACAAAGGAUUUUCUUGAAACUGCAAUAGUAGUGAAGGGAUUCAAUCUUUUUGGCUUA